GGGGAGCAGCCCAGAGCCUGAAUCAGUGUGUGUGUUAGUGGAAGCGUCUGGAAAGGCGCGCGAUACAGGGUGACAGCCCCGUACACAAAAAUGCACAUAUUGUGAGCUCGAUGAGUAGGGCGGGACACGUGGUAUCCUGUCUGAAUAUGGGGGGACCAUCCUCCAAGGCUAAAUACUCCUGACUGACCGAUAGUGAACCAGUACCGUGAGGGAAAGGCGAAAAGAACCCCGGCGAGGGGAGUGAAAAAGAACCUGAAACCGUGUACGUACAAGCAGUGGGAGCACGCUUAGGCGUGUGACUGCGUACCUUUUGUAUAAUGGGUCAGCGACUUAUAUUCUGUAGCAAGGUUAACCGAAUAGGGGAGCCGAAGGGAAACCGAGUCUUAACUGGGCGUUAAGUUGCAGGGUAUAGACCCGAAACCCGGUGAUCUAGCCAUGGGCAGGUUGAAGGUUGGGUAACACUAACUGGAGGACCGAACCGACUAAUGUUGAAAAAUUAGCGGAUGACUUGUGGCUGGGGGUGAAAGGCCAAUCAAACCGGGAGAUAGCUGGUUCUCCCCGAAAGCUAUUUAGGUAGCGCCUCGUGAAUUCAUCUCCGGGGGUAGAGCACUGUUUCGGCAAGGGGGUCAUCCCGACUUACCAACCCGAUGCAAACUGCGAAUACCGGAGAAUGUUAUCACGGGAGACACACGGCGGGUGCUAACGUCCGUCGUGAAGAGGGAAACAACCCAGACCGCCAGCUAAGGUCCCAAAGUCAUGGUUAAGUGGGAAACGAUGUGGGAAGGCCCAGACAGCCAGGAUGUUGGCUUAGAAGCAGCCAUCAUUUAAAGAAAGCGUAAUAGCUCACUGGUCGAGUCGGCCUGCGCGGAAGAUGUAACGGGGCUAAACCAUGCACCGAAGCUGCGGCAGCGACGCUUAUGCGUUGUUGGGUAGGGGAGCGUUCUGUAAGCCUGUGAAGGUGUGCUGUGAGGCAUGCUGGAGGUAUCAGAAGUGCGAAUGCUGACAUAAGUAACGAUAAAGCGGGUGAAAAGCCCGCUCGCCGGAAGACCAAGGGUUCCUGUCCAACGUUAAUCGGGGCAGGGUGAGUCGACCCCUAAGGCGAGGCCGAAAGGCGUAGUCGAUGGGAAACAGGUUAAUAUUCCUGUACUUGGUGUUACUGCGAAGGGGGGACGGAGAAGGCUAUGUUGGCCGGGCGACGGUUGUCCCGGUUUAAGCGUGUAGGCUGGUUUUCCAGGCAAAUCCGGAAAAUCAAGGCUGAGGCGUGAUGACGAGGCACUACGGUGCUGAAGCAACAAAUGCCCUGCUUCCAGGAAAAGCCUCUAAGCAUCAGGUAACAUCAAAUCGUACCCCAAACCGACACAGGUGGUCAGGUAGAGAAUACCAAGGCGCUUGAGAGAACUCGGGUGAAGGAACUAGGCAAAAUGGUGCCGUAACUUCGGGAGAAGGCACGCUGAUAUGUAGGUGAAGCGACUUGCUCGUGGAGCUGAAAUCAGUCGAAGAUACCAGCUGGCUGCAACUGUUUAUUAAAAACACAGCACUGUGCAAACACGAAAGUGGACGUAUACGGUGUGACGCCUGCCCGGUGCCGGAAGGUUAAUUGAUGGGGUCAGCGCAAGCGAAGCUCUUGAUCGAAGCCCCGGUAAACGGCGGCCGUAACUAUAACGGUCCUAAGGUAGCGAAAUUCCUUGUCGGGUAAGUUCCGACCUGCACGAAUGGCGUAAUGAUGGCCAGGCUGUCUCCACCCGAGACUCAGUGAAAUUGAACUCGCUGUGAAGAUGCAGUGUACCCGCGGCAAGACGGAAAGACCCCGUGAACCUUUACUAUAGCUUGACACUGAACAUUGAGCCUUGAUGUGUAGGAUAGGUGGGAGGCUUAGAAGUGUGGACGCCAGUCUGCAUGGAGCCGACCUUGAAAUACCACCCUUUAAUGUUUGAUGUUCUAACGUUGACCCGUAAUCCGGGUUGCGGACAGUGUCUGGUGGGUAGUUUGACUGGGGCGGUCUCCUCCUAAAGAGUAACGGAGGAGCACGAAGGUUGGCUAAUCCUGGUCGGACAUCAGGAGGUUAGUGCAAUGGCAUAAGCCAGCUUGACUGCGAGCGUGACGGCGCGAGCAGGUGCGAAAGCAGGUCAUAGUGAUCCGGUGGUUCUGAAUGGAAGGGCCAUCGCUCAACGGAUAAAAGGUACUCCGGGGAUAACAGGCUGAUACCGCCCAAGAGUUCAUAUCGACGGCGGUGUUUGGCACCUCGAUGUCGGCUCAUCACAUCCUGGGGCUGAAGUAGGUCCCAAGGGUAUGGCUGUUCGCCAUUUAAAGUGGUACGCGAGCUGGGUUUAGAACGUCGUGAGACAGUUCGGUCCCUAUCUGCCGUGGGCGCUGGAGAACUGAGGGGGGCUGCUCCUAGUACGAGAGGACCGGAGUGGACGCAUCACUGGUGUUCGGGUUGUCAUGCCAAUGGCACUGCCCGGUAGCUAAAUGCGGAAGAGAUAAGUGCUGAAAGCAUCUAAGCACGAAACUUGCCCCGAGAUGAGUUCUCCCUGACUCCUUGAGAGUCCUGAAGGAACGUUGAAGACGACGACGUUGAUAGGCCGGGUGUGUAAGCGCAGCGAUGCGUUGAGCUAACCGGUACUAAUGAACCGUGAGG
rnacentral:rRNA from 1 species